rnacentral:lncRNA from 1 species
UCACCCCAAACACGCCCCAACCACUUGUGCGACACAAGGGCUACCAUACAGUAGCGCGCGACACCUAAUCGCGUGCGCCGGAGUGUGCGAGCAAACAUUGUACGGAGGAGCUCGUUUGGGCCCUAGGACGCAGGGCCUGGGCUGGCAUUUGGUGCAUUCAAUAGAGCAUAGAAAACCGAGGCCACAUAUGUGCUCGGGUGCGCAAAGGUCGGCGGAAUUGUGGGAUCAAGUGACGUGGAAAUGGAUCUGGGGGACUGCGGGGUUUUGGGGUGUGUUGGGUUGGUGGCGUGAAGGGUGUGAUUUGUGAGGAAUUUAUCGAUGCAUGCCAAGUUGCACGCCUUUCCCCUGUGUUUCCUACAUGCCCCUGAACCCUCCCUUUGCUGGCUGCAGGCGAAGCGACAAGUGGUACCGCUGGUACCACCCACGGGGGCCUUGUGCCCAAGCCG